GUCCUCUUGUUUCUAUAUGAGGUCUGACCUGCCCGGUGAAAGUUAUUUUAACGGCCGCAGUAUUUUGACUGUGCAAAGGUAGCAUAAUCAUUAGUCUUUUAAUAGGGGGCUGGUAUGAAGGGUUUGACGAGGUGUUAACUGUCUCAUUUAAUUUGUGUUUAGAAUUUAACUUUUCAGUCAAAAGGCUGAAAUCUUAUUGGAAGACGAGAAGACCCUAUAGAGCUUUAUAAUUAAUGCAUUAAUUAUUUUUUGUUAUAUCAUUUAUUAUUAUUGUUUUAAUUAUUUUGUUGGGGUGACAAAAAUAUAUAAUUAACUUUUUUAUUUACAUAACAUUGAUUUAUGAAUAUUAGAUCCAUUAUUAUUGAUUGUUAGAUUAAGUUACC
rnacentral:rRNA from 1 species